rnacentral:lncRNA from 1 species
ACCCACUGUGCAUCGAAUCAGGAUACCACCCACAAAAAACCACCACAGCAGCGUGACAUCCAAACAAAACAAAUAACAAACACACAAAAUAGGAAACACACGCUUCCACUAUCACCAAUCACCAAUCACAGCAAUUGCUGACAUCCCAAAAUUGAAACCCACACAACUCAGAUUCCUAGUAUAAAGCUCCCAGAGGAUGAAAGUUCUAACUGUCUCAAUGAAGCCUUCUCGAUUGUCGUUGAUUACAACUUUGCAGUCGCCAUUGACAAGAGGUUGUCUGCUAGUUGGCCGUAAU